rnacentral:rRNA from 1 species
CUGGAAAGUCCGGCCAUAGAGGGUGAUAGCCCCUUACGCGAAAAACCAGUGGUGGAACUAAGGGGUUGCGAAAAGUAGGGCGGGACACGUGAAAUCCUGUCUGAAUAUGGGGGACCAUCCUCCAAGGCUAAAUACUCGUAAUCGACCGAUAGUGAACCAGUACCGUGAGGGAAAGGCGAAAAGAACCCCGGGAGGGGAGUGAAAUAGAUCCUGAAACCGCAUGCAUACAAGCGGUCGGAGCUCCGCAAGGAGUGACGGCAUACCUUUUGUAUAAUGGGUCAGCGACUUACAUUCAGUGGCGAGCUUAACCGUAUAGGGAAAGCGUAGCGAAAGCGAGUCUGAACAGGGCGUUCAGUCGCUGGGUGUAGACCCCGAAACCAGAUGAUCUACCCAUGGCCAGGAUGAAGGUGAGGUAACUCUCACUGGAGGUCCGAACCCACUACCGUUGAAAAGGUAGGGGAUGAGCUGUGGGUAGGGGUGAAAGGCUAAACAAAUCUGGAGAUAGCUGGUCUCUCCGAAAGCUAUUUAGGUAGCGCCUCGUGAUAUACCUUCGGGGGUA